rnacentral:rRNA from 1 species
AGUGAACGCUGGCGGUAGGCCUAACACAUGCAAGUCGAACGGCAGCACAGUAAGAGCUUGCUCUUACGGGUGGCGAGUGGCGGACGGGUGAGGAAUACAUCGGAAUCUACUUUUUCGUGGGGGAUAACGUAGGGAAACUUACGCUAAUACCGCAUACGACCUACGGGUGAAAGCAGGGGAUCUUCGGACCUUGCGCGAUUGAAUGAGCCGAUGUCGGAUUAGCUAGUUGGCGGGGUAAAGGCCCACCAAGGCGACGAUCUGUAGCUGGUCUGAGAGGAUGAUCAGCCACACUGGAACUGAGACACGGUCCAGACUCCUACGGGAGGCAGCAGUGGGGAAUAUUGGACAAUGGGCGCAAGCCUGAUCCAGCCAUACCGCGUGGGUGAAGAAGGGCUUCGGGUUGUAAAGCCCUUUUGUUGGGAAAGAAAAGCAGCAGGUUAAUACCCCGCUGUUCUGACGGUACCCAAAGAAUAAGCACCGGCUAACUUCGUG